GGAGAGAGGGAGAGAGGAGAGAGAAAGAGAAGGAGAGAGGGGGAGAGGGAGAGAGAGAGAGAACGCCAGCACGAACACACAAGCUGUCGAUAGGUCUGCUAACAGCAGCCGUGCUGCAGCAGAGAGAGAAAUCAAGAAACAAGUCAUAGCAACACUGGGCACCAGGUUCUGCCAAGCGUUCAGAAAUCUAUUGGGAGCCAGAGGCCUCUGGGUAGCCCAGGCUAAGAUGUCACGAAAGGUGGCACGGGCAGUUCCCAUGAGGAAGAGGAAUGGGGGCAGGAGUGGGUACAAGAGUUGGUGGGGUGGCAGUAGAAGACUUAAUCAGAGUGGAUUCUGGAACAUUCAAGACUGCAGCACCUUGUAUCUGGACAGGGAUUUGGGUCUGCGCAGGAGACGACUGGUGGUCCAGUGGGGCUUAAGGACUUGAUGGCGUAACCCACUUCUCCCACGGAGGAGACUUGAGAGAGGAUUGACCAAAUUGGAAGAAAAUAUUUGUCCUCUGCUUUGGUGUCAGAAAAGGGAAUUUUCCGAUCUGCCACACCUCACUGUUGCGGCAAAAAUAAUUCUUGGCUCCCCUGGAAACCAUCGGGCAAGGUAGGACAGAGCUUCUGCCGCUGUCGCUGGCACCCUGGGCUUCGCACUUAGUGGGCUGCCCCCAAGUGAAGGGAUCUGCACUGAUACUCUGGUCAUCCAGAAGUCCUCAGAUCAGUUGCAAGAAUCUGCAUUUUGGAAGUUGCUGCUACCUUGUGCUUGGAAAGGUGAGGAAUGGGGACUAACUUCAGGGUAUGUUGGGAACCGGCUGUUGCAAGGUUUCCCGAAAAGUGAGUGGGUAGAGGUUUGAAGGACUCCCAUUAGAAUGAUUUGUCAGUCUAGGGAACCAAGAGAUGGAGAAUGAAACUGGGGCAGCAGCAGCUGUCUUGUAUUGGGGGAGGGAAGCUGAAAAAUUAGAGUUCUGGCAUCCCAUUUUGUCUCAUAUUUGUGGGAGGGGGUUUGCUGGGCCCUGCACCAUGCACAGUAACCCCACCCAUGACUGCGCAUCCAAAGCAAGAACGCAGUGCGUCCUGGGCCUCUGGCCUGGGACAAACACCUCCCUCCUUGUUAUAUAACUCAUGGGUGGCCUGUGCCUUCUCAAGCCUUUGCAACUCUACCUCCCCAGCUCUUGGGACUUGCAGCCGAGGGUCUGCUAGGGAGCAGUGGGAGGUUCCCUCCCUGGAUGGGCUAGCCCUUGUCCACUUAGUGACCAAAUUUGAGUACAGAAAUGGUUUUCUGUCUCAUCUGGAAACAUGGGCCCCAGAAUACCCUUCUGAGUACCUGUGUCACCUGUGAUCCCUGGGGCUUGGAGGUAGGAAUGGUGUCCCUUUCUGGUUUGUGGGAAGGACUUUCUGAAGGAGAAUACCUGACAGUAUUAGUAUGAGGGAAGGUGAGAAAGCCUGUUGGGAGGGGGUUGGCCAUUUUCCCUUUCUUGUCUCUAGCUUUCCUUUCCCUGACUGGGUUCACAAUCUUUCUAGACUCCUUUGAGGCUGCCAUUUUGAAGGUGUCUCUGCUGGUGUUCCACAUGGUGGCUGGUACUGGUGGUUUUCCUGGCCCUGCUAUGCUAGUUCCAAGGAGUGGGUGGGAUAAGAGGUCUCUGAUAGAGGAAUGCAGGCAUUGUACAAAUAUGUGUAGUUAUGAUUGCUGCAGUGAAGGUGGUCUGGAGGCAGAACUGCCUGGUUACACCCUGGGUCACAGCAUUGGGUGGGGGUCUAAAUAGAAGCCUUCUGGGUCAGGAUUCCCUGGCUUGGGACCCUAGCUUUACAAGAAAGCACUUGGCUUUCCUGCCUUAGUCAGCCUGAACCUCAGAGAUGUUCCAUGAAGUGCCUAGUGUUGGAAGCUCAUCUCAGUCCUAGGGUUUGUGUUUUUUCAAAUAGGCAGCCUCCACAUGGGGACAGGGGGUAAGAUCCACAGCAGGCAGCAGCAUUUAUUUAGAUGGCCCUACCUUUACUCCAUGCCCCCUGCCAGGGCCACGGUUCUAUCUGCUCUUCUUUAGUGAGGCUUCCAACUGCCCAACCCUUUCUAGGCCCUUCUGCGGAUAGCGGCCAUCUUGUCUUCCUGCUCAGAGAUUUAAAAUGGUUUCCCAUCAUUUUCAGGUUGAAAUUCCUCCCAUUCAAUACGGUACUGUGGGCUGUCUGCAAGUGGCCUUAGCUUUCCCAAGAAUCCAUUCUCAGGUGAAAACCAGACCACUUAUAUUUCUCUGCUUUUCUUUUCUCCCUAUUUUUAAUACUGGCAUUUUUUUAUGCCUUCUUUCUGCCUGUUGCAGGCCCACUGUCUUUAUGGACCUCUCCCUGAGCACCCUCUAAGAAGAAAUCCCUCUAACCACUAUUAUGAAUCUUCUUUCUGUCAUGGUAUUUUGUUGUGUGUGGUUCCAUGUGUUCUCUAUCAGAGUUUGUGUCCCAAUGAGAAGCCUGGAGAAGGGGGAGGAAGACAUCCCUAUUCAGAGCCUCUGUUGCCGGAUGCCAUAGUAGACACCUCAUGAACCGCUACGUGUUUAUUUUUCUUUUUAUUAUAGCCCUUUAAGGAGAAUCCUGUGGGGCUAGAGAGAUGGCUCAGCAGUUAAGAGAAUCCUGUGGCUGAUAGGAACCCCAGCCUUCUAGUCUUUUUCCUCCAUGUUUACAAGAUGUUAGAAGGUUCAUCAAGAUGAUGUAUUUUUUGUAGUUGAAAUGAACAAACCUCAUUACCUGCCUUCCUUCUGGAAGAGCAGGCAGAAGUGGGUAGGUAGAAACAACUGCAGAGGAGGGUAAACCCAGGCAUUGAGGUAGGUAUAAUCAUUGGACUGUCAUACGAGGUCUGUACCCCAAUCUCAGUUGGGUGAUUUUAGACAGGUCAUUCUAUUUCUUGCCUAAGUGCCCUUAGUUUGUGAAGUAGAACCCUCCCAGCCUGUUCAUAGGAAUGCCCACUGGCUGAAGCUCUCUUUCUCUGCCUGGAGAUUUAAUUGGGGAUGUAAAAUGAGAGGAUAGCAGAUGACUAGCAAAUUAGCGGAUAACCAUAUACUUCUGUGCUAUCACAGCAAGAACAGAAAGGAGGAUCUCAGUAGUUUGACCUCAAGUCUACAAGGUGGUGGUGUUCCCCAGAGUGGCUGCAUGCUUCCUGAUGUUGUUGAGUCCUAUGGGAGGGGAAUCUGAGCACCCAGAUGCCCCUCAUCACCAGUUCUGGGCUGGAGCUGAGAAUAGUGACGACAGCCAAGAACUCUACAGAGUACAGCUCCAUCUGUAAGUAGGUGACAAUCUCUUGGCAUCGCAGGCUCGGCUGAGGAUGAUGUUUGUGCAUCUAAGCCAUUACACUAGAGCAGUUUGCUUGCAUUUUUGUGGAACAGAAAAGAGUUGCUGCUUGGCUACCUGCUUCCAUGGAUGUUGAUAGAUGAAAAAUCAUGCUGGAUGUGGUUGCUGAAGUGGGAUGAGGGCAGUAGGAUUUCCUUAAAGAAGGAAAGCCUUGAAGCACUCCAUGUGGCCAAAGGUGGUUAUGCCCUUCAUCAAAUACCAGCUUCUACUGUCUCCUGUUUCCAGAUUGACUUGCUCUGCUCAAGGAUAUUUUUUGAGCGUUCUACACUCUUUUGGACCCUUUACUCUCUGUGCUUUCCUCUACCCUUUCUCCUUCCCUUUGAUUUUUUUUCUUUAGGAUGAAUGAUAACAUUCUCAGCUAUUAGUCCAAGAGCCAUAUUUGUUCUUUCUCUUCUUUGUCUUUACCCCCAUUUAACAAGGCGGGGGUGGGGGUAGUUGUCCUGGGAAGGAAGGUAGGUAGGGAAUAAAAACCCAUGGUGUUGGGUGGUAGGGCAUGGUAGGUUAGAUAGUCUUUUCCUUCUUGUAGGUACUGUUGAGCUACUAAUUUGUGUGGUUCCUUGAAGUCAGGUGUAUUCUGAUGUAACAUGGACCUAGUCUUGUUAGUGGAUUAAUAGCUGAUUAGAAACUAGAGGCAACAAAGGAAAGGUCUAGUCCUUCAGAUGAAGUGUGGCUGCCUUCUAGAUCUGUUCCCUCAAAAUAUACCAUUCAGCAUCUCUAACAAUUGUCCUUUUUUUCCAUUCUUCCAUUCCUAGCUUUUCUGUGAAAGGAUAACUAGCAGAGUCUUAGCAUAAGGGUAGCCUGCUCAGCUAACUAGGAUGUGAGGUAUUUGGGAGAUAUCUGGGCAGCACCAUAGACAGGGUAUGGCAAUAGCUAGGUACCUAGACUUCCUUGGCUGCUGACAUCUAACCUGAGAUUAUUCAAGGUUUAGCUCCCCAUAUCAUCCCUGAGGUCCUGGGAGCUUCCGAGGAUACGGACAUGCUCUUUCCUUUGCAGAGCGGGCAUGUGUCUUACCCUGGACAGACUGAGCCUUAAAGGGGCAUAGGCUAAGACUGGAAUCUAGAGUUUAGACUGAGCUGAGCAGUAACUGAAUUCUGGAUUUUUCCAUACUUGAGAUUUUCCUUUGAAUGAAUCAUUUUUUUCUUUAGGCUUUCAGUUGUCUUCAAAGUAUCUCUAGGCACUUGACAGGGAAGUGUUUUUCCUCUGCCUUAAAAUAACAGCAAUGUUGAGUUAAAGUGAUGAUGUCCUUCAGAACUGGGAAGACAGACAAUCCCGUUGUAGACACAAACCAGAAAGCAGACAGCAGGUUCUUCCUAUGACUUUUAGAAGUCUCUGUCCAUCAUUGCUAUAAAUGUUCUUAGCCAGUAGGGCCAGUGGGAACUGACAGCCAAAUGUCUAGGGUCUAAGGAGAAAAGGAAUAAUCUUAGAUAAUUCUGCUAGGUACCUGUGGGAUCUCAACCUCAGCCAUCUCAUGCAGCUACUCUGCUGACAUUGUAUAGAUGUAUUUAUCCUUUCCUGCCCCCUCCCACUACUGUCCAAGGAAGACUAAUGAAUCCCACCUCACAUGUUUAUUGUCUUGUCUCUCUCUUUGAGGCAAGCCUCUGAGAUCCUUGCCAAGAAAGGUCAGUUUGGAUGAGUUGUCUAUUAUUUCAAGGAGCUAGAUAAAUUGAGUCACUGCCUAGUGGUGUGUGAGGGAUAGCUGGGGAUCGGAGGGGCUGAAGUUUAAGAGAUAAGUUCAAUCAGCUCUGCAGCUGGGAAACAGAAAGGAAUAAACCUAAUUCUUCAAAAUGAGCCCUACUGGAGGGCUGGAGCCAGAUGUGCUUAAGCACCUUAGUUCUAGUGGGCAACAUAUUCUUAGGCCUGACUCUGGUGACCUCUGCUACCAUUCACAGCCUUUGGGGGAUUGGGAAAACAAAGAGGAACUUAGUUUUGCCUCUUGUCACACAGCUGUCUCUGUGAAUGAAUUAGGGCUGUACCACCCCACCCAUUUCUCUCUUUCAGACUCUCAUCUAAUGCCUUGCCCCUAGUCACCAGCCUUACUAUUGCUGUGUGACAGGCAAUACCGUAUGUUGCCAGCCAAGCAGACAGUACAGUCAGCAUGCCUGGAACAUGCCUGGAACAUUUUCCUUGGCCUCUGAGUCUCUGAGUUCUGAAAGACAGCUGUGGUACUGAAGGCAAAAUGACAUAGCUGUAGAAUGCAGGGUACCCUACCCAGGGCCCUGAUUGGUCCACACUAUCUGGGUUCCACUGAAUCCUUUUUUUACUGGGGCUAUGAAUUGUUCAGUAAAUAUCAUGGCUCUAUCCUCUGGCUUGGAUGUGUCCCCAACAUUGCAGCCUAAUUUAGAAGAUGUGAACUCUCACAGGUCACUUUUUUAUACUUAUGACCUGCCUCAGGGAUAAGUAAGAGAUACUGCUUUUUUAAUCAGCCUGCCACUGUGGGAGGUCCUUAUUUUCCUUUAUUUUCUGGUCAGUGGCCAUGAGAAAAGCAUACACUGGGUUUGGUUAUUUGCUGGCUCUUUCAACUGCUUAUGGGCUGAUAAGCAAGAAAAUACUCUUGAGGCCUAAUAGUCUGUGCAGAUCCUGAUACUGUGGAAUUAUGCCUGUGUGAGUAGAGUACAGGAAUAGAAUGAAGGGAACUAUAUAGGGCCGUGGUUCUUUGUGGUUGGAUAAUAGAAACAAGUCAUGAGGGUGUGGGAAGAUGUAUCCAAAUGGCUAGAUGCUAGACAGGGUGGAAUCAGGAUGAAUCUCUAAAGAGACAAAGAGACGUCAUCACAUAUCUUGGUCUCCAUAUGCCAUCCAUGGAAAAGGAAACUGCCCUCCAACCCCGGUAACACAGAUAUUAUAUACCUUUUAUUGUUAGUGAAAAUGUAAUGACUAAGUGAACUGACUUAAAUGAAAGUCACACAGUUGAUGAGUGAUGUUGAGAUUUGAUUCAGCACUUCUGAUUCCAAAGCCCUUCAUAUAUAUUUCCUAUGGAAGAGGAAUUACAUAGCCUGGCUCACCUUAUCGACCUCUUCCCAGGUAAACAAGUUCUGAAUCCUGAAGUUGAGUACAUGGAACAGGAGUUUUUUUCCUCACUGUUAGGCUGAAGUCAGACAUUUUUGUGAAUUAACAUCCUCAAGAAAUUAUAUAAUCUCCAAUGAAAGUAAACUCUGUGUCUCAGUAAUGCUGUGCACAUUUCCUUUUCUGGAUAGGUGAAGCAGAUGUUAUUUGGUGUCUGUUGAAUGGUAAAUCAAUUCCCCUCUAUAUGUUGCUGCAUGUUCUAGGAGCUGGACGUUCAGAGCCCCAUUGUCAAUAAAAUAGCAAUAUAAAAUACACAUUAGCCAUAGUUAACACUGUGUGUGGAUGGAAGAGGAAGAUAUCACUCAUUGAAAAUAUGGUGAUUAAUUUCUGUCAUAUUAGCACUCAGGAGGCUAAAGCAAGAGCCUUGAGUUCCAAGCUAGCCUGGGCUAUAUAGUGAGACUCUGUCUCAAAAACAAAACUAAAACAAAAACGCCCCUCCUCAUCCCUCCCCUCCAAAAAACAUAGUGAGGAGAGAGGAAAAAAGGGGUCCAGAUGCAGUCUCCUGGGAAACCAUGUUAGUUGGGGUAUCUUCCAAAAGGUUAGAAAGGAUACUAACUCCUUUUUUCCCUAGGCAUUAAAAAAUCCUUCCAAGUUCUCUGUAGGUCACAGAGGCAUGUUCUAGGUUAGGAAUCAAGGUGGGAGGAGAGGUCAAACUCUGAGCCACUAGCUUAAUGUUUUCAUUUUAUAUGGCUGUGCUUAGCCAUUGUCUUCUUCCUUCAGCCCUCAUCAGGCAUCAGCUCCAUGCCUCUCAUCUGUGCAUCAUGGGGAGCAAUUCAGGCUAGGUCUUUGCUAAGUCACUAAGUAUGUACCUGCAGGCAGCUAAUUUGAAUUGCAGUCUCUGCUGGGACCAUGGUUUCUGCAGGAAAUGGAUAGGACCAGAUUGGGAGAAGUCACAUUAUGUUAGAUGUUUUGUAUACUCUGUACUCUUAGGAGGUCAAGGCCAGUGGUGCUAAACCCUAAGUGCUUCUGCUCCGUAUGUUCAACUUCAGGAGUCAGAACUUGUUCACCUAUGAAGAGGUGGCUAAGGUGAGCCAGACUACGGUAUUCCCUUCUCCUUGGCCUAAUGAUGUUGCUUGGACUUCUCAAAAUAUAGGAGCUGUCAUUGGCUGAAGGAGCCAGAAGCUGCAUAGGGUAUGUGUGAUUAGGGGUUAACAACAUGGGUAGGUAGGUCAAGGAAAAUGGGUUUAUGCUAUUUUGUGUUUGUGCUAUGUCCUCAGUUUACUUGUCUAUGAAACAGGUUUUGAAUGAGGAUUGUGUUAGAGCCUGUCCUGGAUGUUUGUGGAAGUUUUGCUUAGCUAGAAAUUUGGGGCCUGGAAAAUGAACCUAAGUUGCUGAGAGAAGGGAGGGAUCUUGAAGGCCAAAGAGCUACCAAGUUUUGUUCCAAAGUGGCAUCCUAAUGCUAGUAUGAACGAUAGUUGGUGAUGGGUUUUAGAAUGGGUUUUUGGAUGGGUGGCAGUGAAGAGAAGGGGUUAACUGAAUGAAAGUAUCUAGUGAGGACCUACUAGGUGACAGGAUAUGACAUCUUAGAGACAAGUAGGAGAUGUGCUUAUGGGAGCUGGCUGUAGUGCAGGGCUUUGAUUGAAAGACCCUAUAUGUUCAAGAAAAGUAUUUUAUUCAAGGCCUUACCCUGUGCCAAGAGGACUUUGCAUUUAUUUAUCCUCCUUUUAUUAUGUGGUUAGGUCUCUUGCCUAUCUGCAAUGUGACAAAAAAAAAAAAAAAAAAAAAAAUCUCCAAAGCUGCCUGGGUGGUAGAUCCUGAGCCAAGGAAUAUGUGGAGCAGUCUUAAGGAGCCUUAAAGUCACUACACACUGAUUUUUUUCACAUUAGCUGGUUCACUGGGUCCUUGCAAACCCUGAGCAGAGAUACAGCAUUGCUGUUAUUGUGACUAAACUGAGCUAGGAAGAUCCCUCUCAGGAACCAAUUGCUUGUUCAUAGCUUUGGAUUUCUAACCUGGGCUCCUGCUCCAGCUAGACCAGGGGUUGGAAUAGAGCAUUGAGGUCCUUGGCAGUGUUCUGGAUCUCUGAGACAUUCUCUUCUGCUAGCUAGUUUCUACAUCUUGACUAGAAUGUUCCUGGAGACAUUUUUGUUAAGCUAUUCGACAGCUUUAAAGACAUUUUCCUGUGAAUUCAUGCAUACUUCUGUUAUGUGUUGUUCACUGAGAGAGGAAGAUUCACUGUGGCAUCUUUGAGAUUUUCCCAUCCUAUUUUUGAGGAAUGCCUGGAGCUUUCUCAGUAUGUGUGUUGUGUUUGUGUUACCUGUUUGCUAGCUAACAUGUAUCACCCACCGGAAGCACUAGCUACUGUGCUGUAUAGUUAGAUGCUAGAAAUACUGAAGUCAGCUCAGAACCAUUGCCUCAUAAUCAAGUGGAAGAAUAGACCUCCCCUGUAGAGCAGGAGUGAUGUUCCCCAGGCUUCUUUGAGUAUUGAGUAUUGAUAUUCUUUGAGUAUCCCCAAAACAGUCCUCAUUCUUUGAAGGGGUGCUGAAGUUGAGUAUUGGGCUGUAUCACCUCUUGGCUAUUCAGUGUCUAAGUGACCUUUAUUUUGAUAGACCCAGGGCUUCAAUAAAUGGCUAGAGAAGUGCUUGCUUCACUUAUCAUGGACUUGGGCAUGAAGGGUUAUACUUCCUCUGCUAGUGUUCCCUUCAGAACAGUUGAGGUUGGACAGGAUCACUAAACAUCUGUAUCUGUUUAUAAAUGUCUGUCUCUCUGAGUUCCAUAAACAAAUACCUGUUUUUGAAUGGGAAGGUACAUAGGAGCAUUUUGAUGGAGAAUGCCUUCAGCAGCCUUCUAUAACAUUGUCCUGUAUUAGAGCUGGUUCUUUCUAGUUCCUUGGAGAAUGGAAAAGAGGGUAUAUCCAACCCAAAGUAUUGAGAGAAAUUCAUGUAGAUGUCAUGAAAGGCCUGUUGGUAACUUUGCUGAGUUCCCAAAGAAGGAUAGAACUUCCUGAGGAGCUAUUGGCUGCUCUUGUCAGGUCUGUUUAAUUCUGAGGCUCUGGGACUUUGAAAUGAUCCCUGAAAUUGUGUGGUCAAGGUAUCAAGAUAUAAAGUGGCUUCUUGGUUCUACUUUAUAUCAAUCCUGGCUGCCUUUGUGGCAGUCCUUAAGGUGGGAGAUUAUAGGAGACAAUGUAGGCACAGAACUUGAGACUACAAACCAUUUUACUUUACAGAGAGAAUUUCUGCCACUGAGCUUAUGGGAAUUGUUCUUAAUUCUUAUAUAAGUAGAAAAAGUAUAUGCUGUCUCAUAUUUUCCAGGGAAGAUCUAUUCUAUUCCUUUAUUUGUAUCAUUUCUACCUUGGACCAUUCCUCCCAGUGAAGGGGACUCUUGACAAGCAUUGUAGAUGGUAGAGGAAGCAAGAUUAGAUGAGAUUUUCUAGGAAGAAGGUAGAAAAAGAGUUUAAAAGUAGACCCAUAAGCCCUGCAAGUCACAGGCAUUGUCUGUGGUGCUAAAGGCUUAGGUGUGGACAUACUACUUAGAGGAAACCCAGAGUGUGAAAUAAUUAGUUAAUGACUUAAUGAAAGUUGUAUUGUUUAAUUUUAAAAUUUUUAUAUUAAUUACAGUUUAAUAACUUUGUAUCCCACCUGUAGCCCCCUUUCCUCAUUCCUCCAAUGUUCUUCUCUAAGUCCACUGAGAGGGGAGGUCUUCCUCCCCCUCCAUCUGACCCUAGCUUAUCAGGUCUCACCAGGACUGGCUACAUUGUCUUCCUCUGUGGCCUGGUAAGGCUGCUCCCCUCUCAGGGGUAGGUGGUCAAAGAGCCAGCCACUGAGUUCAUGUCAGAGACAGUCCCUGUUCCCCUUACUAGGGUACCCACUUGGAUACUGAGCUGCCAUGGGCUACAUCUGUGCAGGCGUUCUAGGUUAUCUCCAUGCAUGGUCCUUGGUUGGAGUAUCAGUCUCAGAAAAGAUCCCUGGGCCCAGAUUUCUUAGUUCUGUUGCUCUCCUUUUGGAGCUCCUGGCCCCUCCAGGUCUUUCUAUCUCCCCCUUCUUUCAUAAUAUUUCCUGCACUUUGCCCAAACUUUGGCUAUGAGCCUCAGCAUCUGCUUUGAUACCCUGCUGAGUAGAGUCUUUCAGGGGCCCUCUCUGAUAGGCUCCUGUCCUGUUCCCUGUUUUCUCCCUCUUAUGAUGUCCAUCCCAUUUGCCUUUCCGAGUGAGGAUUGAUCCUCUUACCCAGGGUCUUCCUUCUUGCUUGGCUUCUUUAGGUGUACAGAUUUUAGUAUGUUUAUCCUAUAUUAUAUGUCUUAUAUCCAUUUAUAAGUGAGUAUAUAUCAUGUGUGUCUUUCUGCUUCUGGGAUACCUUAAAAUGAUCUUUUCUAGUUCCCACCAUUUGCCUGCAGAUUUCAUGAUUUCCUUGUUUUCAAUUGCUGAGUAGUAUUCCUUUAUGUAAAUGUACCACAAUUUCUGUAUCCAUUCCUCAGUUGAGGGGCAUCUGGGUUGUUUCCAGCUUCUGGCUAUUACGAGUAAAGCUGCUACGAACAUGGUUGAGGAAAUGCCUUGUGUACUUGAGCAUAUUUUGGGUAUAUACCUAGGAGUGGUAUAGCUGAAUGUUGAGGUAGCACUAUUUCUAAUUGUCUGAGAAAGUGCCAGAUUGAUUUCCAAAGUGAUUGUACAAGUUUACAUUCCUACCAACAAUGGAGGAGGAUUCCCCUUUCUCCACAUCCUCUCCAACAUGCAUUGUCACUUGAGUUUUUGAUCUUAGCCAUUCUGAUGUAUGUAAGGUGAAAUCUCAGGGUUGUUUUGAUUUGCAUUUCCCUGAUGACUACGGAUGUUGAGCAUUUCUUUAAGUGUUUCUCUGCCAUUCAAUAUUCCUCUGUAGAGAACUCUGUUUAGCUCUGUACCCCAUUUUUCAAUUGGAUUACUUGAUUUGUUGUGUUUUAACUUCUUGAGGUCUUUAUAUAUUCUGGAUAUUAGCCCUCUGUCAGAUAUAGGGUUGGUGAAGAUCCUUUCCUAGUCUGUAGGCUGUCAUUUUGUUCUGAUGACAGUGUCCUUUGCUUUACAGAAGCUUUUCAAUUUCAUGAGGUCCCAUUUAUUUAUUUUUUUUCAAUGCAGUUUAUUCAGGAACCUUGAACAAUCAUCUGACCCUGGGGAAAGCCAGCCCACAGCUUAAAUAGCCUCUGGGUAGCCAACCCCAGCGUGCCACGUGGGCAAUGCAGAUAGGUCCACAUACAUGGAAGCAAGCCAGAUCCUCAGCCUUAGCCAAAUGUGGAAUUGUUCGUGACAGAGAGCACUCACCAUCGGGAAGGUGGAAGGCGGAAACCAGCUCCAUCUUUAAGGCAUAGCAUUCCGCAGCUCUCUACAGUUCCCCCUUUUUGUUUUAGACGCAUCAGGCAAGAGUAGAGGUCUGAUCUCUGAUAUUAGAAAUAAAUUGGGAAUUUGUACUGAUGUUCAUUUAGGUGUCAUCCACCCAAAAAGCAUCAGACCUGACCGAUACCUUUUUCUCAGAGGCGAGGUCCCAUUUAUUGAUUGUUGAUCUUAGAGCCUGUCCUGUUGGUAUUCUGUUCAAGAAGUUGUCUCUUGUGCCAAUGAGUUCAAAGCUCUUCCUCACUUUUUCUUCUAACAGAUUUAGUGUAUCUGGUUUUAUGUUGAGGUCUUUGAUCCACUUGGAUUUUAGUUUUGUAUAGGAUGAUAAAUAUGGAUCUAUUUGCAUUUUUCUACAUGUAGAAAUCCAGUUAGACCAACACCAUUUGUUGAAGAUGCUGUCUUUUUUCCAUUGUAUGGUUUUGGCUUCUUUGUUAAAAAUCAAGUAUCCAUAGGUGUGUGGGUUUAUGACAGUUGUAUUAAAUAUGGAAAAUCCUAUGUCCUUUUGAGUUAUUGCCAGCAGUAGAUUUAGUGUUGGAAGGUUUAAUAGACAGGCUGGGGUUAGUUAAGUUGUAUUUUAAGUUCUCACUUGCUAUUGACUUUCUUCCUUUACUAUUUCCUACUCUCACACUCCUUAGCCAUUUCCAAAUGCAGUCAUUUCAAUCUGUGAAGGAUUGGAUCCACAGAUGCUGUGAAAUGAGGUUGUUUUCAUUUAAUUUACACAUGCCCUUUCAUGCAUUCUUUCUACUCUUUGAACCAUGUCCAGAUAUCUUAAAAUACGGAAUUCAAAGCAAAUGCUGUCAAACAGUUCUUUUUAAAAUUCUUUAGAGGAUAGUAGCAAAAAAAAAAAAAAAAGUUCUGUGUAUAUAAGGUAAAG